rnacentral:lncRNA from 10 species
CACAUCUUCGCAUGUCCCCCACACAUCACACGCACACAAGCGUUCCCGCACACGCGCGCCUCCCCACGUACGCACCUCUCUAUACCCCUUCAUACACACUCAUGCCUUCUCAACACACGUACCAGCCCACUUGCACGCACUUGCAAGCGCUUGCACCCUCCACACGCACCGCUCGGAGCUUUUCCCCCUCUCUCCUCCCAAUGGCUGGCUUCUGGAGCCGACCCUUCCACGCGCCCCCAGCUUCGCGGCAGCUAGGUCCCUCCCCAGCGCGCUGAGCUCACAGCGCAGGAGCCGGUCGCAGCCACACAGGCCGGUCCGACGGGACCACUGCUUCCCUCCUCACAUCCCAGGAGACACCAGGUGGGGCGUGGCACCUCCCACACACGGCUGGAGGGACUCCCAGGAUUUCCCGUCCUUCCGAAUUCGUGGGGGGUCAGAGGACUGCGGGGAGGCGUUUCUCAUCCUCGCUGGGGAAAGGACUCACCUGGUUCCCAAAGCCAGUUUGCUCUUCCUCUACUUCCUGCCAGAGGGAGCCUGGCCUUAAAGAACAAUGGAAAGAAGCAGUCAUAGGAAUCCUGGACCAGGAAUAUGUGCCUGAGAGGGAUUAUACACCUGGUGCUGACGGAGUCUUGCUCUGUUGUCCAGGCUGGAGUGCAGUGGCAUGAUCUCGGCUCAAUUCAACCUCCACCUCCCAAGUUCAAGUGAUUCUCCAGCCUCAGCCCCCAAACCCCCCCAACCCCGCCGAGUAGCUGGGACUAUAGGCAUGCGCCACCAUUCCCGGCUAAUUUUUGUAUUUUUAGUAGAGAUGGGUUUCAUCAUGUUGGCCAGGCUGGUCUCGAACACCUGACCUCAAGCGAUCCAUCCACCUUCGGCCUCCUAAAGUGCUAGGAUUACAGGUGUAAGCCACCAAGUAACUGUUUGGAACAUGGAAGAAAAAGGUGGGAGAUAUAACCUAUGUUUUUCAUCUGGUAUUUUAUGUACAUAGCUAUAAAAUUUUUUGUGAAAUGAGGCAGAAACCUCCUUUCUAUCUCGUCAGAACCAUGUAAUUAGAUCUUAAAAAGACUGAAGAAAUAAUCGAUUCCUACUCCAUCACUUAAGAGACAGAAAUAUGGGGCCUAGAGAGGGGAGAGGCUUAUCCAGCAUCACAUUGCUACUAAAUGACAGGGCAAGGCUUGAGCCAGAUCUUCUGAGUCCUAUCCAGUGUUCUUUCCAAUCUACUGCUUGUUUUGUAAAGCAUGGCACUUGCUUAUAAAUCCCUCUGAAGAAAUAAAACUCUCUAGCUCUCAUCCUUGUGUAUUUACCCUAGAAAUAUGAACAUUUAUGUCCACACAAAAACCUUACACGAAUGGUCAUAACAGCUUUGUUUCUAUUAGCAAAAAACUGGAAACAACUGAAAUGCUCUUCACCGUGGGCACAUAUAAACAAAUUGUAGAAUAUUCACAUAGUAGAAUACUACUUAGUAAUAAAAAAUAAAAAACUAUUGAUGUACACAACAAAUUCAGUGGCUCUCAGGGCCAUUAUGAUGAGUGACAUAGCAAAUCACAGUAUUUUACAUACUAUAUGAUUCCAUUUACAUAACAUUCUAGAAAUGAGAAAAUUAUAGUAAUGAUGAACAUAUCAGUGGUUGCUGGGGGACAGAUGUGCCUAUAAAGAAGUAGCACAAAUGAGUUUUGGGGGGAUGAUAAAACAAUAAUGUCCUAAUUACAGUGGUGAUUACAAGAAUCUAUAAAUGUGAUAAGAUUAAUAGAACUAUCCACCCCCCCCCCAAAAAAAGUUGAGUGCAUGCAAAAGCUGGUAAAAAUCAAAUGAGGUCUAUAGUUUGCUCAAUAGAAUUAUUGUACCAAUGACAGUUUCCUAGUUCUGAUAGUUGUGUGGUUAUGUAAGAUGUUAACAUUAGAGAAGGUUAGUUAAAUGUAUGUGGGAACUCUCUGUAUUAUUUUAGCAACUUUUAUGUAAGAUUAAACUUAUUUUUAAAAAGAAAAAAGAAAGAAAACUCUCUAGAAGUCCCAUAAUGUUUUAGGCAGGCCUGGUCAACCAACAUUUCUGUAGUUUUCUGAAGUUCUAAUAUAUCUUCAGGCCUUUGCUCAACUGGCGUUCUCUCUCUCUCUCUCUCUUUCACACACACACACACACACACACACACACACACACACUCACCCCACUCUGUAACCUAGUUUAUUUUUAUCCGUAAUACUUAUAAUCCCUAAUAAAAAUAUGUUUGUUUAUUGUGUGUCUCCUCCCAUUAGAAUGUAAGCUCCUUAAGUUUAAGCACUUUUUGUUCACUGUAUCCCUAACACCUAGAAUAGUGCUUGUCACACAGUAAAUGCUCAGUAAAUAUUUGUUGAAUGAAUGAAUGUGUGUAGGCAUUGAAAUAAAGGUAUUAUGAAAAAAGGUAUUGUAUACUAUGUUACAUUUCUUUAUUACAUGAGACAAAUUUCUCUUUCAUUUU